rnacentral:rRNA from 1 species
CCCUUAGAUGUCCUGGGCUGCACGCGCGCUACACUGAUGUGUCCAGUAAGCACCUAACCUCUUCCGAAAGGAACGGGUAACCUUUGCAAAGCACAUCGUGAUGGGGAUAGAUUAUUGCAAUUAUUAGUCUUGAACGAGGAAUUCCUAGUAAGCACAAGUCAUCAGCUUUUGUUGAUUACGUCCCUGCCCUUUGUACACACCGCCCGUCGCUCCUACCGAUUGAAUGUUCCGGUGAGCUCUUCGGACUGCGCGGUCUGCAGUUUCUGCGUUCCGUGCGGAAAGUUGCGCAAACCUUAACAUUUAGAGGAAGGAGAAGUCGUAACA